rnacentral:rRNA from 1 species
AGUGAACGCUGGCGGCGUGCCUAACACAUGCAAGUCGAACGAUGAUGGAGGAGCUUGCUCUUCCUGAUUAGUGGCGCACGGGUGAGUAAUGCAUAGAUAAUGUGCCCCUUAGUUCGGGAUAGCCACUGGAAACGGUGAUUAAUACCGGAUACUCCUUCUUACUACAAGGUAAGUCGGGAAAGUUUUUCGCUAAGGGAUCAGUCUAUGUCCCAUCAGUUUGUUGGUGAGGUAAUGGCUCACCAAGACUAUGACGGGUAUCUGGUUUGAGAGGAUGAUCAGACACACUGGAACUGAGACACGGUCCAGACUCCUACGGGAGGCAGCAGCGAGGAAUAUUGCACAAUGGAGGAAACUCUGAUGCAGCAACGCCGCGUGGAGGAUGACGCAUUUCGGUGUGUAAACUCCUUUUAAGAGGGAAGAUUAUGACGGUACCUCUUGAAUAAGCACCGGCUAACUCCGUGCCAGCAGCCGCGGUAACAC